AAAUGGAGCCCCACCAGUGUCUUAACUCGUCAUUUUUGUAUAUAUAGGCAAAAGAUCUGUUGAAUGUAGUCAAAGAAAUAGUCACAGAUAUUUUUCAAUCCUUUGAUGAAACAAAUUCAAUGAACAUCAACUACAUGUAUAACGUUUUAUUCCCUGAGGCCUGCAUAUAUUGUAUACGAAAAACUGAGCGUUGUCUCCGAUAUAACGCUGAAAAAAUUUAUAAUUGUGCGAGUGGAGUUUAAGACAGUGCAGACUCUGAAAGUGACUAACCUUGUUGUCUACCGAAGUACCUGAAAGCUGUAGUGGAUCUUGUAAAAAUUUGAGGUGACUUGACAAUGUAUCAUACCGAUUUACUCUUAAGACUCAAUGUCGUCUAAACAUACUAUUGACGAUGAACUAGCGCUGUUUUUAGUUUAGGUUUACUGAAUAAGAUUUUCUUUUUCAGCUAAGUUCUAUUACUUUAUCAAAAAAUAAUGAAUUCUUGUACAGGAAACAAUUAUACUUCAAUUUUGUCUAUAAUUAAAAUAAAAGAUGACUUUAAUUACAACUACAAGACGUAGAAAAAAAGUAUGUCAAACAGAGUCAAGUUAACGAUUAAUUGAACUGUUGACUAAGUUGGGCCAAUUUAUAGAUAUAUUUCAUAUCAAAGUUAAUUAUAAAUCAAAAUAGUUACCUCAAAAACACAAGUAAAUCUUUUCACCACCAU